rnacentral:lncRNA from 1 species
GCGGGGGAGCUCGGUGAUUUCGCUCCCCACCUCAGCAGGUCGGGAAGAGCUUCCCUGUCCGCUCUCACGAAGCCUCCUCCUCCCCGUCUCCCUCGCAAAGCCACCGCCUCCUCGUCUCCCUCUCGAAGCCGUCGCCGCCCACUGCCUCGCACUCUCUUGGACUGGAUCUGUCGUCGUCCGGUGAUUUUGCUGAACACGAGCACUUCCUGCUUCCUGGCACCGCGCGCUCGGCAAAACACUAGAGCUUUCUCGCGCAUGGCAGCCUCUUCUUCGUCGCGCAAUCACCGGAUCUCCCUCCUCUUCUUCGCGCAAGGCAACAGAUCUCCCUCCUCUUCGCUGGAGCCUGGGCCCGAGGAUCCUGCAAGCCGGCAGCUGGAGAAAGGCGAGCGACAUGGCGACCUCCACAAUGCGGCUGGUGAAGGACGAGAAAGGUGAGCACCUUAGCCUUGUCACAGAUAUUUUUCUUUUUCAUCGAUUAUUUUUCUUUUUCCAUCAAUCAUCGGUGGCUAGUGACCCGCUGCACCCUCUUCAUUUCUUUUCUGAAGCUGAAAACAUGCAUAUCUGUGAUGCAUAAUAUAUAUAUUAAUUUUUGACUAAACGAUGACACUUGCUUAGUUGGGAGCUAUUUUACAUGUGGAUUCAGUCAUGGCCUUUCACGUUGUGUGUAGCUAGCCUCCUGAAUUCACUUCUUUAGCUAAGAUAUUUCUGUAGAACGGCCACCAAGGCUAGGCUGGUUCAGUAGUCCAUGAUUUUCACAUUGUGUACAACCUCUGACCUCAGUUCUAAAUCUAGUACAAAGAUUUAUUGCAGAACACCAGUAUGCCCGGGACUCUGUUCUGCUAAUGCGUUUGUGCCAUGUGGAGUAUUUGCUUACUCUAUUCUAGCUUUUGUAAUAAAGUAUAUUGGAUGAUGUCCCUAGCAAGUUUACUAUCUAAUUUUCCACACUUCGGCAUCUAAUGUUGUAAUUAAAUUGCUUAGAGGAAGUAGUAGUAGUCCAGGAAAAUGUACCACUCAAACAAUAAGAAUCCAAUGGGGGUGAGCAGCUUGCCAUGUUCUUUACCUGGUAUUAAUAAUAUAUCUGUAUUGCUUGUACAUUUGUUGUGUACAUGAAGAUUUUGCAAGCAAGUUAUCUGUCUAGUGAACUGAACUGAAAUGAAUGCUAAAUUAACAGACUAUGUGGCCCAAGAAGACGACAACGACUUCUUCAUUGAAAUGGAGCUAUGAAAUCUGCCUGGUGGAAGCACCCACCGAGUGCCACUUACAACAGCAUUUUGCAGGGCAUCCAUUAUUCUUGCUUCAUAUAGUUUCAGAAAACUCAACACUUAUUCUGGUUUUUGGUAGUUUAUUUGGAGGCGUACUCCUUUGGCACUUUGGGUCUGUCCUUUUUAUUGUCAUGACAUGAAGCAAUUUAUUUUAUCUUUCCUAUUGCAAUACUCAGAAACUGUACUCAGAAACUGUGUUGAGUACUCUAUUAUCUCCUCAUGAAUAUUGUGUGAUAACAAGAACACAUGUUGGUGGUUUACUCUAUUAUCUCAUGAUUAUAGACACACAUGAUCAUUUGUUUGUUGAAGCUUGC